rnacentral:rRNA from 1 species
CUACGGGUGGCAGCAGUGAGGAAUAUUGCACAAUGGGGGGAACCCUGAUGCAGCAACGCCGCGUGGAGGAUGACGCAUUUCGGUGUGUAAACUCCUUUUAUAUGUCAAGAAAAUGACGGUAGCAUAUGAAUAAGCACCGGCUAACUCCGUGCCAGCAGCCGCGGUAAUACGGAGGGUGCAAGCGUUACUCGGAAUCACUGGGCGUAAAGGACGCGUAGGCGGGUGGGAAAGUCAGGCGUGAAAUCCUACAGCUUAACUGUAGAACUGCACUUGAAACUUCUAAUCUAGAGUAUGGGAGGGGGAGAUGGAAUUAGUGGUGUAGGGGUAAAAUCCGUAGAUAUCACUAGGAAUACCUAAAGCGAAGGCGAUCUCCUGGAACAUUACUGACGCUAAGGCGUGAAAGCGUGGGGAGCAAACAGGAUUAGAUACCCGUGUAGUC